rnacentral:rRNA from 1 species
GACGAACGCUGGCGGCGUGCUUAACACAUGCAAGUCGAACGAGUGGCGGACGGGUGAGUAAUGUCUGGGAAACUGCCCGAUGGAGGGGGAUAACUACUGGAAACGGUAGCUAAUACCGCAUACCAUCGGAUGUGCCCAGAUGGGAUGAGCUCGUAGGUGGGGUAACGGCUCACCUAGGCGACGAUCCCUAGCUGGUCUGAGAGGAUGACCAGCCACACUGGAACUUAGACACGGUCCAGACUCCGACGGGAGGCAGCAGUGGGGAAUAUUGCACAAUGGGCGCAAGCCUGAUGCAGCCAUGCCGCGUGUAUGAAGAAGGCCUUCGGUUUGUAAAGUACUUUCAGCGGGGAGGCGUUACCCGCAGAAGAAGCACCGGCUAACUCCGUGCCAGCCGCCGCGGUAAUUC